UAGUCCAGGGCAGAAAAGCGGUCAACCCAGCCACGAUGCGAGCCAAAGGAUUCUUGGCUCCAAGCCUGGUCCUGGCUGUUAGUUUGGAACUCAUGCACCCAGAUGCUAACUCGCCCUCAGAAUGCAGAGGGGAUGAAACACUGACCGGACAAUUCAAUCUGUAUAUGGGUGAGUCCAGGGCUCAGUCUGCAUUGCGCGGAAAAUGAAGGUGAAGGUGGAGGUGGGACCUGAUGGUCUCGUCCCGGAUAGGGUUGAAGAAGUGGGAGAAAAGGAAUCAAAAUCGUGGAUGGGAUAAGAUUGUGCGCGAAUGCUCUCUGGGAGCGGAUCGUGGCCGACGAGGGCCCGAAGAUGCUGCCUUGUGAUCGCAGGUGUGAGUGGAAGCUGUGAGAUAAACUGGAGGGGAAGACGAAUGGCAGGAGGGUGAAGAGGAAACUGAAUUACUGUGCAAACACCCGCCACUCAAAUCCGGGUGGUUACUGCAGAGUGAAUAACGAUAGGUACUAUUUCGUGUAAGGCAAAGUCCUUUGAAAGGGCUCCUAGAGCGUCAAGGCCUCCACCUGAUGAAUGAAUGAGUCAGGCAGGCCCAGCUCCACUUCACGGAUGGGAAAACUGAGGUACGAGGCCUCGCUGAAAGAUGCGAGGCAGAGCGGAGAACCAGAAGCACCACUUCUCUCAGGCUGAUGCUCUAAUCUCGGCUCCCCCCGCCCCUACAAUGGCGUAGACGGCCUCCGCCGCCCGACUCACACACACCCUCCCCCGGGAACGGCAAGUCUCCUCGGGUUCCAAGGACAGGGUCAAAAGACAAGAGGCCCGAGGCGCUCCCGCCGUGAUUUGCAGCCAGAUACCGUUGGGAGCGCAGCCAGAGAGCGUUGGGAGCGUGCGUACCUCCAGCCCAACAUGGCGGCGGCAGCGGCCGCCCCCGACCCCAA
rnacentral:lncRNA from 10 species